AUUGAACGCUGGCGGCAGGCCUAACACAUGCAAGUCGAACGGUAGCACAGAGAGCUUGCUCUCGGGUGACGAGUGGCGGACGGGUGAGUAACGUCUGGGAAACUGCCCGAUGGAGGGGGAUAACUACUGGAAACGGUAGCUAAUACCGCAUAACGUCGCCAGACCAAAGUGGGGGACCUUCGGGCCUCACACCAUCGGAUGUGCCCAGAUGGGAUUAGCUAGUAGGUGGGGUAAUGGCUCACCUAGGCGACGAUCCCUAGCUGGUCUGAGAGGAUGACCAGCCACACUGGAACUGAGACACGGUCCAGACUCCUACGGGAGGCAGUAGUGGGGAAUAUUGCACAAUGGGCGCAAGCCUGAUGCAGCCAUGCCGCGUGUAUGAAGAAGGCCUUCGGGUUGUAAAGUACUUUCAGCGGGGAGGAAGGCGGUGAAGUUAAUAACUUCACCGAUUGACGUUACCCGCAGAAGAAGCACCGGCUAACUCCGUGCCAGCAGCCGCCGCGG
rnacentral:rRNA from 1 species